rnacentral:lncRNA from 8 species
GGAGGGGAACAGGGUGGGCAGAAUCCCUCUGAACACAGGCUAAAACAAAUAUUCUGUGAAGGAAGCGGUUUGUAUCCUAAUUAGCUUAAAAGUAGAUUUAAAAUCUCAGUAAAAGGCUGUGUGGCUCGGUCCUGCUCUGGGAAAGAAAGCUCGGUCCUGCUCUGGGAAAGAAAGCUUGGUCCUGCUCUGGGAAAGAAAGCUUGGUCCUGCUCUGGGAAGGAAAGCUCGGUCCUGCUCUGGGAAAGAAAGCUUGGUCCUGCUCUGCUAACAUGUCGUCGUCUCAAGUGUCCCAUCAAUGGGGGCCUUGUUUGCUGUGGGAGAGAGAGCCCCAACCACCAGCCAACUCUUAUCUGUGUUUUGGCUUUCUAUUGAAGGACACUCUCCAACAUCUCAUCCCUGUGUCUAGUGAGGACAAGUGGACAGAUGCCUACCUGCAGCCCUGUGGACAGGCAGACAGGGGCCUUUGAAUACUAAUAGCCUUGUUUAUUCAUUUUCCAGAGCUCUCUCUCUCUCUGAAACUAUGUGUCAACUGCCCUCAAAAUACUUCUCUGUGUCAUUGGAGAGGGGAGGUGUGCUGCCAACCGGCCUUCUUGUAGAGAAAACAGUGUGAAGGCCAAUCUUUCCUCUCCCUGAAGCUGUGUGUGUGUGUGUAUGUGUGUAUGUGUGUGUGUGUGUGUGUGUGUGUGUGUGUGUGUGUGUGUGUGAAGAUAGAGACCACACUCUGAACAACAAGUACAAACCCACAACUCUGAAAAAAAAGGUGACUUACACAAACAGAGAAAUAGGCACAGCAACUAUACAUAGGUUAACCACGACAAGCCAAAAGCCAUUUUUUGAAGCACUCCAUCUAAAAUAGCACAGGAAAAUGAACAAACCCAGAGUCACCCAAGUAGCUUCAGCAGCAGCAGUAGCAGUAGCAUACUGACAGACCUCGCUCACACGCAUUCACAGUUUGAGGAAAAGUGGAUCACAGUGCCCCCUAAAGUUCAUUGAACAGAAGUGCUACUGCAGGAUUCCUGUGUUUUCCUUCUUUGUUGUGAUGACUCCCACACCCUUCCUCUCAGCAUGAGGCUCUUGGCAUCCUCCAGUCUGUUGGUUUCAAAGCAAGGCCCCUGCCUGCCAACACAAUAAUCAGGUUACUACAGGGCUUUAGUUAUGCAGAAUAAAAGCCAAGUAGUGGAAAUCAAAUUACAAUUUAACAACUUAUCAUGCAGUGCACUGCAAGGUUAAGCUCCUUAUCCUGUUGAUACAGGAAUCACCAGAUGUCCAUACAUGCUGCAGUACGAGCACUUUCAAAUAAUGACCAUGCAAGUUUUACCUGGAUUCAUGUUAGAAUGGACUCAGGAUUUAACCUACAGGAAAGCACAGUAAACUUACAAUGCAAACAAGGUAUCCUCUCUAGAUGCUCUGUAGGGACUUGACUCUCUCUCAUGCUGUGUCUGGGACAGGCAGAGCCCAGUCAGCCCAGGGAUCUAGAUAUACCUGUACUUUUCUUUACUUUGUAUCACUAACAUCCCGGUCAGCCAUACGUCAGGUCUAACCUUAGCUUAUGUCACCAGCUCUGAUGAACACAGACUCAUUGCCCCUGUCUCACCGGCUAACCUUCAGCCCCCAUCACCCAGCCAGCCACCAUAAUGAAAUACACAGGGCCAUAUGAGUUUAGAGCCACUGGUGGAAAUGAUUGGCCUUACAGAGAGCAGCUAACUGACUGACUGCCUCUGUCCUUACAUGAACUGAACUUCAGCAGCUAGGCUAGGCUAUACUGUCUUGUCUGUUUGAUAAUUCAAUGUUUUUCUUCUUUUUUUCAUCUCUGUGAAAAUGUAAGUGGCUGGAAGAAUCCUGAUAAGGUUUUAGAAGAGAGGCAUUUCCAGGUGGGCAAACAUGAGGGGUUUAUCUCAGUGAUGGAAAAGAUUAGAAGCAAAUAUAAUGACUCAUACACUAUAAAUAUUAUUAUAUGUCGAAGAAUAUAUUUUUUUCAAUCACACAUUUUGUGGUAGAUUUCUUAAAUUGUGUCCCUAGACUUGAUUUGAUUUUUAGUAAGGAUCUCUUUUAGCCCAAGGGCUAGUGUCCCAGGAGUCCAAGACUCAAGUACGUAUUCAUCACAUGCAAAUAUGUGCAUAUUUUGACUUUGUGAAAGAUAUUGUAAUCACUGAUUGGGCACAAUAUAUGUAUGAAUUAUUAAUGUUGUGGAUAUGAGUAAUUGAACAUAGGGACAAUUGGGUCUGUAGUUGAAAAGGGCUGGAAAGGCUCUAUGGUCAAUACUUCCAAUUUGUCAUGCUAAGCUAUUUGAGGACAAUGAAGGAAGGGCAGUGCAUUUUUGGUAUGCCAGUCAUUAUUGUUGGAAUAGAUGUGUAGAAUGUUUAACCAGUGUUGUACAUAGAGGUUGAGGUUUACUGUAAACAAGAGAAGCACAGUGAAAAGAUCUGCAUGCUAAAUUCAUCCAUCAUAAAGCAUUAAAGCAUAAAUGGCAUAUUACUCUGUAAGAUGAGGAACAUUCAUAGGAUGAGUAUGUCAAGGGGAUAGAUAGAUGAUACCGUAACUUCCAUCAGUAAAGCAGUGCUGAACUGAACCCCCUAGCUGGCAAACCAGAAACAAACCAAUAUCAACACUGCCAUCUGCUGGCUAACCUCCCCUCCUGUUUUGUACAUUAUUGAUAGAAGACAUGAAUAAACGUCAAACACUGUUAGUCCUGCCCAUAAACCCCAUGACCCCUAUCAUACAGUAUAAAUGAGACCCCUGACAGACCGUAAUUGCUGACCAUAAUUUCUGCAUAUGAAUAUCAAACAUUAAGUGAAAGAUUUUAUGCCACUAAAAAAACAAAAUACAUAUUACUAGAUAAUUAUUGAAUAAUAAUCCUGUAUUUGAUUAAUUUCAUAAACGUUCAUUUGGUGAUCAUUAUGAGUGAAAUUAUCGAAGCGCGACAGUAACACCAGAGUAGGUCACAGAUUACUUCGCUUUCUCUGUAGACAGCGGGCUAUUAACUUCAGCACCGUGGAGAGCAGCCGCCAUGGAACGAGGGAGAGCCACAUAGCGAUUGGAUAAUAAUGUUAAGACGCAGAUAUCGCGAGUAGAGAGCAGUGUGCCUAUUGGUCAGGACUGACGGGACAGUAGAUUUACUGACACUGAGAGGACAGCUACGGCAUUGGAGAUACAUUACUUCCACGACCUCGUAUAAAAAAGUGAAAUAACAGUGAUUUAUUCUACUUUAUCUCUUCAUUAUCAAGCUUUGUCAUUCCUCAUAUUCGAUGAGGUGGAACUGAUAGCAUGCAGCCGAGGGACAAAACAUUGUAAAUAGCAACAGUGCGCUCAGGACAGGAGGAGGUAAGCAGAUUAUGUUUCCAAUGGAAGUCCGUAAUGCCUUUAGAGUCAGUUGAUCCCUAUCAGGAUAGCACUAACUUCAAAGAUAGCGGGUUGACUUGAAGCGAGUACCGGUAGUAUAUGGGUCUAUUCAGCGAAUUCAAACCAAAACACCACGAAUGUUAGGCUAUGAAGACUCUGGCUGCUUUAUUGAGUCUCCACUUUUACUCGCGCACCGGAAGGAUCCCAGUUCUUAAACCCUGAAGAUCCACCAUUGAGCCGAUGCCACCAACACGUCCCUGUGUGUGUGUGUCGCAAAUCUCUUCAGUCGAAUGUGACAAGUGACAACGUUGAGAUUAUAGAUCUUGAAAACACUGCAUUGGAUAAAAGCAUAGCUACAGUAUGUCACAAGUGGUGUCACACAUAAGCUGCACACUGGCAUAAUUGAUCCAUCUCUUUCUGUCAAUAGUCUUUGUUCAAUUAUUGUGUUCGGGCCUACUAAUAUAACGUGCAAAUACAUUUCACCUGUGAGUGCGAAAUCUGAUGUUUAGUGUUGUUACUGAGUUUUAGAAUGACUGCAUUUACAAAGC